AUGGCACUAGUCAUGGAGUACUCUCUUCUCUCAACCCCCAUUUUCUUCUUCACCGCUUUGGCUCUAGUCCUAUCCAUUUUCACAGUAUCAGUGCUGAAAAGGAAGCUGAUCAAGAGUAACAAGAAGUACCCACCAAUUGCCGGGACACAACUUCAUCAGCUACGUAACUUCAACCGGUUGCACGAUUACAUGACUGAUCUUGCUGCCAAACACAAGACUUACAGACUGCUCGGCCUCUUCAGGAGUGAGAUCUACACCUCAGACCCAGCAAACGUUGAGUACAUACUCAAAUCCAACUUCGAUAACUACGGAAAGGGGUGGUAUAAUUACAACAUUCUGAGGGAUCUUCUAGGGGAUGGAAUUUUUGCAGUCGAUGGAGAAAAGUGGCGCCAACAGAGGAAGAUAUCUAGCCAUGAGUUUUCGACAAAAAUGUUGAGGGACUUUAGCAGUGUAAUUUUCCAGAAAGGUGCAGCAAAACUUGCUUACAAAUUGUCUGAGAUUGCAACUUCCAACCAGACAAUUGAAAUUCAAGAUGUGUUUAUGAAAUUAGCCUUGGAUUCGAUAUUCCAAGUAGCAUUUGGUACUGCAUUAGACAACAUGUGUGAAUCAGGUGAAGAAGGCAAGAGUUUUGGUGAUGCUUUUGAUAAUUCAAGUGCAUUGACCCUCUUCCGUUAUGUACUUAUGUUGAUGUCUUCUGGAGGAUCAAGAAGUUUCUGAAUGUAGGAUCAGAAGCCCUCUUAAGGAAGAACACGAAAAUCGUUGAUGAUUUCGUAUAUAAGUUGAUCCACAAAAAAAUUGAGCAAAUGAAGAAAAAGGGGAACUCUGCUAAGACUAUGGAGAGAGAAGACAUUUUAUCACCGUUUCUGCAAGUAAACCAGACUGAUCCAACAUAUUUGAGAGAUAUAAUCCUCAAUUUCGUUAUAGCUGGUAAAGACACAACAGCAACCACACUUACCUGGUUCAUUUACUUGCUCUGCAAACACCCUUCAGUGCAAGAAAAGAUUUCACAAGAGGUGGAGCAAGUAACUGGCAUGAAAAAGAUCACUAACUUUUCUGAGUUUGCGUCGAGUUUGAGCGAAGAUGUUCUGGAAAAGAUGCAGUAUCUUCAUGCUGCCAUCACUGAAACCCUUAGAAUCUAUCCUGCAGUUCCAGUGGAUGGAAAGAUGUGUUUUUCUGAUGAUACACUGCCAGAUGGAUUCAGUGUGAGGAAAGGAACUUUGGUAGCAUACCAACCUUAUGCAAUGGGAAGGAUGAAGACAUUAUGGGGAGAUGAUGCUGAGCAGUUCAAACCAGAGAGGUGGCUUGACGAGAAUGGAGUCUUCCAGCCGGAGAGCCCCUUCAAGUUUACAGCCUUUCAGGCCGGACCGCGAAUAUGUCUAGGAAAGGAGUUUGCUAACAGACAAAUGAAGAUCCUGUCAGCAGUUUUGUUAGGCUGUUUUGUGUUCAAGAUGAGUGACGAGAACAGAAUUGUGACUUACAGGACGAUGAUUAAUCUUCACAUGGACGGGGGUUUAGAGGUUCGGGUGUUUCAGAGACAGUCUGUAGCUUCCUAUCCAUAUCCAUAAUGGGGGUUUAGAGGUUUGGGUGUUU